rnacentral:lncRNA from 1 species
AGCAGGCCCCCUGAGACUAAAUGCCCUCCAGGCCAAAUCACCCUUGGAGGAAGAUCCUAUUGUGAUCCUCACUCUAGGAUGGUGACAUCACAGCCCAGAGAGCCUGAGUGACCUGCCACAGGUCACAGUAGGGACUCAAACCUGGUCCACCCAACUGCAGAUCUCAGCUCUGGACCCCAGGUGCCUGGCUGCCCUCAGCCCACCUGGCCACGCCCACCCACUUCAUCCAGCUUCCUCCCUGGAGAGCUCAAAGCCCACUGGACCCAGGCCCCCAUCCCGGGACCCGGGAUUCAAGUGACAGAAUUAUUGGACCAACAAGGGAUGGAAGGGGACGGGGCCUCAGUCUCAGGUAACAUCUUAAGCAACUAGACUUGCGGGCGACAGCGGCUGGUCUCUACGUCCCUAAAGGCAUUCACUCCUGCAAAAUACUUUUGUGACUCUGAAGUUAUCUCCUCCUUCUUGACAAAGAAACAGGACAUCUGCAGCUUAUGAUCACAUUGUGUGAACAAGGGAUGCUGGGCAAAAAGCAAGCAGUUAACUUGUACAAGCAGGCAAGGGCCAAAUCAGAAUUUUCUUUACUUCAGUCACAAAAAUGCUGGGUACUGAAAUCUCAACUCACCUGGUGUCACUCCCAGGGCACAGGCUAGGACAACACGCACCCGUCCCUGGAGAACUCUGGGCUGGUUCCCCCUUCUCCCCCUGCUGACCCCCUCUUAGUCUACCUCCGCUCCUCCCUUCCCCCACCAGAGAACCUCCCAGGGUUUCCAUUUCCUCCCGGAUAACAUAACACGUGCUGCCCUGUGAGGAGGUGCUAAAGUCAAGAGCAAGGUGGCAGGGGGCUUUCGAGCAAGAGGCGACCUGACUUCAGAGACCCUCAGUCCCCAAGACAGACGCAUGCCCUUUGAGAGAGCAGCCGCCCCAGGCACACGCAGGCUCUGGGCUGUCAGGAUGGGAGCACGUGGUCCUCUUCCACCCACCUCCCGAAUCUCCCCUGCUCCCCGCACCCAUUUCCCUGUGGCCCCCAUUUCCCUGUGGUCACUGUAAUCGGACCCCACUCCAGUCCCCUUCCCCACUGACUCUGGGAGCUGGGGUUGAUGCUGGGGCUGGAGCAGUGACCAGCCCAUGGUGACCCCGGCCCCAUCCAGGUACUAGGCCACUGGCCACCAAUCAACUAUGGUUUCCCAAGCACCCAUAUGUGCCCAGCCUGGGCUUGGGACCCAGACCUAGUCCUGCCUGGCCCACUGCAGCAGUAAUGGUGGGCUCUUCCUGGAGAGAACCUGGACCACAGUCUCUCUGCCUCAACAUCUCAGUAUGAAGGGCCAGAGACCCUCCUGAUGGUCACCUUAGGAGCACAAAUGUGGUCCUGCCAGGAAGAAGUAAUAAAAUGUGAAUGCUGCCUUCCUCUGGCUGCCCCUCCCUCUCUCCUGCCUUUUACAAGUGGUAAUCAAGGGCUCCUGGCCUCCACGGUCCCCUCCCUUCCUGCCUCAAGCCCAGCAGUCUCACCACCACCCCAUCACAGCCCCAGUGGCCUGCACGUGGCUCAAUCCAAUGGUCCCCUCACUGUCCUCCUUCUGUUGACCUCAGGAUGGGCUUGGCAACUCACAUCAUUCUCG